rnacentral:piRNA from 2 species
UGCUCCGUCCACUCCACGCAUCGACCUGGU